CUAACGUGCUUGUGUGGUUGAAGAGUAAUUAUUUGUAUUUGGGAUUGGUUCAAUGGUUUUGCUAAAAGUGCAUCUUUUGGGGUCCUUUCGUACAAUCAAAAAGAGAUUUAAAUAAGGAGAUAGAAACCAACCUAGCUUGCGCCGGUCUUAACUCAGCUCAUGUAAGGGUAUAAUAGUCGAACAGACUAUCCAGUUAUAGCGGUUGCACUCAUAUGGAUAUCCUUAAGCCAACAUCGAGGUCGCAAACCCAGCUUUCGAUGUGUACUCUCAAGCUGGAUUACGCUGUUAUCCCCGGGGUAGCUACUUUUUAGUUCUUAUUAAGCUCUGAAUGAGUUUUUUAAAAAAAUGGAAGUUUUAGUUAUUCCAUGAUUGCCCCAAUCAAACUUAGGAGAAUUUAUUUUUUGAGGGAUAAAGUCUUGUAGGUUAAGCUCCGCGGGGUCUUUUCGUCUUCCUUUAUUAUCUGGGGCUUUUCACCCAGAAGAAAAGUUAUUUUUACAUACAGGGUAUAGAAAUUCCCAGUCUUGCCAUUCACUGGCCUUCAAUUAAAAGGCUAUUUAUUACGCUACCUUAGCACGCUCACGCUAACGCGGCCGUUUAAAGAUUCACUGGGCAGGCAUUAUCUUCUAUAAAAAUUAUUUUCAGAAGACGAUGUUUUUGGUAAACAGGCAGGGAAUUUAUUUGCCGAGUUCACUUUGUAUGAUUAAGAGCAAAUUUAGGGGGUUAGUCUCGAUUUAAAAUUUGAUUUAUGAGAAUAAAGUUUUGAAAAUACUAAUAGAAUGCCUGUUCAGUAGUGGGUUAGUUAACCAAUAAGUUCCUUUAUUAAGUAAAAUUUUUGUUUUAUAUUAGAAGAUGAUGGAUGUUAACUAGAACGUUUUUGGGUGGCUGAUUUUAAGCCUACUUGAAUCAGUGUUUGAAAGAACAUUUUUGAGGUCCUGCGAGCUUGUCCCCGCAGGGGUGACCUAUUUAGACUUCUAGUUUUGAGAUAGAAAUAAGCUAUUAGGCGGUACUUUGAUACUUUUAAAGGAAAACCAGCUAUCUGAUCAUAUGAAAGGUUUGUUGCUUCUACUAAGGGCUAGUAGAUCAAUUAUGACACAUUGAUUUGAAAGGCUUAGUAGCUCAUGAUCUUUCGGGAGAUUAAAUGUAAUUAAGGUUUUGUUGCUUCUCCAUGAUGCAAAAGGGAUGUUGUUUUAGAACUUCUUUAUAAAACUAUAUAUAAAUCCUCGCGGUGUAAGAAAAGAAUAUUGUUGUUUUAGAAAUACUUUGGUGGUUAGAAAUUUCUUUCAGAUGUGGAUUAAGUAAAAUUACUAAUUUGGUUUACAAAGGGAGGUAAUCCGUAAAAAGAGCUACAAUCUUUUGCCUAAGAUCUCGGC
rnacentral:rRNA from 1 species